GAUGAAGAACGUAGCGAAAUGCGAUACGUAAUGUGAAUUGCAGAAUUCAGUGAAUCAUCGAGUCUUGAACGCACAUUGCGCCCCCUGGUAUUCCGGGGGGCAUGCCUGUCCGAGCGUCAUUGCUGCCCUCAAGCACGGCUUGUGUGUUGGGCCUCCGUCCUCCUCCCGGGGGACGGGCCCGAAAGGCAGCGGCGGCACCGCGUCCGGUCCUCGAGCGUAUGGGGCUUCGUCACCCGCUCUUGUAGGCCCGGCCGGCGCUUGCCGACACAUCAAUCUUUUUUCCAGGUUGACCUCGGAUCAGGUAGGGAUACCCGCUGAACUUAAGCAUAUCAAUAAGCGGAGGA
rnacentral:misc_RNA from 1 species